rnacentral:piRNA from 1 species
UAAUCUUCAAAAUCGUCGCCGGCUAUCUGGA